CCUACGGGGGGCAGCAGUGGGGAAUAUUGCACAAUGGGCGCAAGCCUGAUGCAGCCAUGCCGCGUGUGUGAAGAAGGCCUUCGGGUUGUAAAGCACUUUCAGCGGGGAGGAAGGCGGUGAGGUUAAUAACCUCAUCGAUUGACGUUACCCGCAGAAGAAGCACCGGCUAACUCCGUGCCAGCAGCCGCGGUAAUACGGAGGGUGCAAGCGUUGAUCGGAAUUACUGGGCGUAAAGCGCACGCAGGCGGUCUGUCAAGUCGGAUGUGAAAUCCCCGGGCUCAACCUGGGAACUGCAUUCGAAACUGGCAGGCUAGAGUCUUGUAGAGGGGGGUAGAAUUCCAGGUGUAGCGGUGAAAUGCGUAGAGAUCUGGAGGAAUACCGGUGGCGAAGGCGGCCCCCUGGACAAAGACUGACGCUCAGGUGCGAAAGCGUGGGGAGCAAACAGGAUUAGAUACCCUAGUAGUC
rnacentral:rRNA from 1 species